GGGGUGUGGCCAAGUGGUCAAGGCACCGGACUCUGACUCCGGGAUCCCUGGUUCGAAUCCAGGCACCCCUG
rnacentral:tRNA from 1 species